GUGCAUGAACUUAGCCGAAAUUCAAGGCCUCGAUAGGCUGGAGUUCUUGGAAGAGCUGAGUAUCACCGAAUGCGCUUCAAUUGAAAUGCUAGACCUUCCAAUAUCCGAGAGUCUGAAGGAGUUAUAUGUUUCAUCUUGCGAAAGCUUAAUUGAAAUCCAAGGUCUCGAUAGGUUGGGGUUCUUGGAAAGGUUGGAUCUCUGUUGGUGCACUUCAAUCGAAAGUUUACCAAUUUUAUGUUGCUUUGACACCUUGAGAUGGUUGGCGAUCACAUGCUGUGACAAGUUUCAGGAUAUUCGGAGCCUAGAGAGAAUCUCAUCCUGCGAAAGUUUAUGGAUUGAAGAUUGCAAGUCCUUAGAAGAAUUACCGAACUUGUCAAGUUUUCCUAAUUUACAAAAAUUGCUCCUGUCAAAUUGUCCUGAACUUCGGGAGAUCCCGGGGCUUGAAGAGUCAAUAUCUCUAAAAUUUGUUGCUAUCUCAGGAUGCUCCUCGAUUGAGAUCUUACCUGAUUUGUCAUCUUGUACCCGCUUGAUUAGUUUGAUUGUGCAAAAUUGCGAGCAAUUGACUGAGCUUCGAGGGCUCGAGAAAUUGGACCAACUAGUGGAAUUGGACAUUUCUGGAUGUAAGUCACUCAAAACAAUUCCGGAGUUAUCUGGAGCGCAGCUUUAUCAAAAUUAUGAGAAAAAGCCAUCUGACUCGGGUCGUGGAUCGAUAGAAUUUGGAUUUCCGGAAUUGUCUCAGAUGAGUCGGUAUACUGGAGAUGAUCCAUUUUUUCUGAUAUAGGAAUCCGUGGGAGAUGUUCAAGGAAGUUAAUGUGUGCUUUGGCAAUAUGAUUCUGCUUAUCGGGCCACUAAUGGAAAUAGAUGGAAAGGCUUACUAAGCGCAUCUGUCAUUAGUCUUCAGGGAAGACCCUUCAUCCUAUGCAGCAAAAUAAAGAUUCUCAGUGUUCUGAUUAAUUCUGGAAUGCUUGAAGUACCGAAUAAAAACCGAUGUAUACAAUGCCAAAGGAUUCGGUUAGCAUUCCACUGGUUGAUGUAAGUGCUGGAAAUAUCCAAGAGAGCUUGCCCAAGGCAAUCUUAAAAGGAAAUCAUCAAAGGAUCAGGAGCUUGAUGUUUCUUGAACUUCUCCAAGCUCUGACUAUGCAUCCUUGGAAUGGUAAAGGAUGUUUGCAUGUUGUCAUCCCACAUUGUCCUGAUUUACAUUCAACAGAAGCUUUGCAGAGCUGGGACUUUCCGCCUCUGCUCCUGU